GAACAAGAAGUAAGAAAGUGGGAGAGAGAGAGAGCUAGAGACAGAGAGAGAGAGAGACGGAGAGAGAGAAAGAAAGAAAGAAAGAGAGAGAAAGAGUUAUAAUCUUGUAAAUAGAGUCAAUACUGUGGCAAGAUGUUGCGUUUUAUUCUCACCCUGACUAUCUGCAUCAGCAACGUAUAUCAGCUGUCUGCAAGCGAAGGUUACGAUAGCCAUCCUGUGACAAAUAGUGGAGAUGCUGAGAGAUUGCUAAGAACUAG